CAGUGAGUAGUUUAAUUAAAAUAUUAAUUUUGGGGAUUAAAGUUGAGAAUUUUUCUUCUUACUGA
rnacentral:tRNA from 1 species